rnacentral:rRNA from 1 species
GACGAACGCUGGCGGCGUGCUUAACACAUGCAAGUCGAACGGUGAAGCGCCUUCCUUUUUGGUGGGCGUGGAUGAGUGGCGAACGGGUGAGUAACACGUUAGUAACCUGCCCCCUUCUUCUGGAUAACCGCAUGAAAGUGUGGCUAAUACGGGAUAUUCUGGGUCUGUCGCAUGAUGGGUCUGGGAAAGAUCUUGUUUCGGUGGGGGAUGGGCUCGCGGCCUAUCUGCUUGUUGGUGGGGUGGGGGCCUACCAAGGCGGUGGGGAAUAGCCGGCCUGGGAGGAUGGCCGGACCUGGUGGGAAUGGAAGACCAGCCAGACUGCGACGGGGAGCAGGCGGGGAGAAUGUCGGACGGUGGGAGGGAGGAUGAUGCGACGACGCGGGGAGGCAGAAGGAGGCCUGGGGGUUGUGGACCUCAAGGGCUAAGGAAGGAAAACUGCCUUGUUUCUGGAUGGGUUGACGGUAGCUGGAGAAGAAGCCCCGGCUAACUUCGUG